GCCCUCUGCUCGGCUCAGCGGACCCGGAGCUCUCCAUGACACCCGACAAGCUCCGGACCAACUGGAAAAGCUAGAGGCUGACAGUGGAAAAUGCGGAAUACACACUAUCACAAAGGCUUGACAUGGAGACCAAAAGGAGGAAUAGAGCUGUCAAAACGGCUGUCAAAGCUACAGAAAUAUAAUAAACGAGAAGAAAAGCAAUUUGCAUGAAAGACACAGAGUGGGCGGGGGAUUAGCGGCCCGGCAGUCUCUUAUUGGUCAGGUCAGAAAAAGAGAGGAUGUAUGGUCACCCUAGCAAAAAGCAUGUUUUUUCCACUGUCAGCGAUUUCAUGAGCAAUGAUGGCAGCCUCCAGAUCAACAUGACCACAUGGAAAUUUGACAUGUUUCUACCAAAAGUUCUAAUGCCCUGACAUUGACCCCAAUCUGCUGAGUUACUGAAAUGGUGUCAUCUACCAUCAAGACAUUUUUGCAUCAGUUCAAGUUCAAGACUGAUAGCUUGCAUUGCAUCAGCAGCAUCAGAGACCUGGAUUUUGUUCCUGCGCUGAAACAAGGAAGUAAUCACGUUGAAAUAAUCAAUGAUGACUGCGAUUCCCUCUCAUUUUCCUUCCCAUCUUUACUCUACUGAUGGUUAGGUUUAGGUUUGGGGUUUAUUUUGUAUAGUAAAAUAAAAUAAAUAAUUUUGGUAUCGUGUUGGGUCACCACUUGAUCAUGUUCAAAGUAAAAUCUGGGGCGUGAAACAAAACCAGUUGAGAACCAUUGCUAGCUUUGUGGUUAUAUGUUAUAUUGAUGAAAAUGUAGAAACAGGGAUGCACAUUUAAGACAUAUCAUUGCAAUCCCCCCU